rnacentral:rRNA from 1 species
UACGUAGGGUGCAAGCGUUAAUCGGAAUUACUGGGCGUAAAGCGUGCGCAGGCGGUUUUGUAAGUCUGUCGUGAAAUCCCCGGGCUUAACCUGGGAACUGCAUUUGUGACUGCAAGGCUGGAGUGCGGCAGAGGGGGAUGGAAUUCCGCGUGUAGCAGUGAAAUGCGUAGAUAUGCGGAGGAACACCGAUGGCGAAGGCAAUCCCCUGGGCCUGCACUGACGCUCAUGCACGAAAGCGUGGGGAGCAAACAGG